rnacentral:lncRNA from 1 species
AAAGAGCGUCACCAAUAGCAAGCUCUCUAGCUACCCGCGUCGCGUAAAUCCAUCAAGGCACCGACUUGCCUGAUAGCAACUCAUUUAUACAGGGCUUCAUCUCUGCAUGCCUUUAUUGCUUAACAAGUCGUAGCCAGCUCACUCUAUCGGGGAACGUCAGCCCAGGACAGUCCUGGGCAAUAACUGGGCAGUCACUGGGCAAUAACUGGGCUGUCCACUUACGGUGCGGAUGCCUCGUUCUGUUUCAUACACAGGAUCAACGACCAGCGCUGAAAUUUAGGCAGCCUCUCUCAUUUUUUCCCCGGUAUAAGUCCUUACAUUUUAUGUUACGCUUAUGUGCCUUCAUACGUCUGUAAAGUCGUUGGAUUUGGUGCGAUUACUGUUUAUCUAGCGCGUCUAUGCGUUUGACGUGCGAAGCCAUCUAUCUAGAGGCUUCUUCAGCUGCCCAGCGGCUGUGCGUGCGGCUCCACCGCCAACCAGCUUGCACCGCAACUCCUGUACCCCACAACUGAGCCCCAGCCCCAGCCUCCCAGCACCAGAGCCCAAUCAAGACCCCUCAAUAAUGUCAAACUAUCCACCCCCACAUGAAACUAUAUACCUCACGUCCAGCAGCUGUCCCAGAGGCACUAUCUGAACAUCGGAUACAUGAGCACUCACGCGUCGCACUCCAUGCAUCCAUCCACGGCAGAGUAUAGAUCGCGCGCAACAGCGCGCCCCAUCCUUUCAUCCAUUCAACCAUUUCGUGGCUAUAAUAUUGAUUUGGCAGAGGAGUUGUUUUCUGCACACUCCAACAUCAUCAUGCGCCGAUCUCGGAACUUGAGCCUGCAAUCCACAUCCUGUCAGCCAGGGUCCCAUCCCCGUCCUUGGCCAGGGUUCCCAAUCCCAUCCUUGGUCAAGGUUUCAAACCCCAUCCCUCCUCAGACAGGGAUCCCGUUCCCAUCCUCACCCCGACAGCAAUUCCCAUCCCAAAAGUAGUGUAGCACGCCUAAUCCCAAAUCCUUGCCUUGGGCCCCACAUCCCAUCCUGACGUCGUCACCCUAUUCCCCAUCCCGCCUGAUCAGUACCUGCCCCCAAUCCCCCAUCUUUGCAACCCUCUGUUUGACCACGCAGAAAUAAUCAAUCGCCUCGGUGUCCCCCUUCCCUCUGUCGUGUUUCGAGACUGCGCGCAGGCGGAGAACGUGCUAAAGCCGAGUGUUGCAGCAUAAGCAUAACCAUAAGCAUAGCAGUAGCAGCAUCAGCAUUACAGUGUUUGAGGCAGCAGCGCCAUCGUGGAGCGUGUUCACCAUGAAGCGCCUCUACACACACAUAUACACAUACAUGCACACACAUUCACAUCAGAGGGCGCCGCCCUGUCCUGCAGAGUGCAGACGACUCAGGUCCCCACUCCCCGGGGCCCGGCCCGGCUCGCUUAGCAAGUCGCUAAUGAGAAGCGAGUGACACACGUCCGCCACACGUUGUGUUCCAGUUCCUCCUAAACGUGAAGCACGGUUGCGAUCAGCGGCGUGGGCAGUCCUAGCACCCCCUUUAGCGGGAGGGGUGCGGAUGGGAAGUUGUGCGUGAUAUCUCGGUGCUGCACCACUCUGCGGGGCCACACGCACAGCAAUACGCAGGCGCGUUAAUCGUUUUGAGGAUUGGAUAGAUAUUUGAAUACGGAACCUUUGAAAAGAAACAAAUUUGUUAUCUUCAAA